GGGUUGUGAGGUUAAGCGACUAAGCGUACACGGUGGAUGCCCUGGCAGUCAGAGGCGAUGAAGGACGUGCUAAUCUGCGAAAAGCGUCGGUAAGGUGAUAUGAACCGUUACAGCCGGCGAUGUCCGAAUGGGGAAACCCAGUGCAAUUCGUUGCACUAUCGUUAACUGAAUACAUAGGUUAACGAGGCGAACCGGGGGAACUGAAACAUCUAAGUACCCCGAGGAAAAGAAAUCAACCGAGAUUCCCCCAGUAGCGGCGAGCGAACGGGGAGCAGCCCAGAGUCUGAAUCAGCUUGUGUGUUAGUGGAACGGUCUGGAAAGUCCGACGGUAGAGGGUGAUAGUCCCGUACACCAAAAUGCACAGGUUGUGAACUCGAAGAGUAGGGCGGGACACGUGGUAUCCUGUCUGAAUAUGGGGGGACCAUCCUCCAAGGCUAAAUACUCCUGACUGACCGAUAGUGAACCAGUACCGUGAGGGAAAGGCGAAAAGAACCCCGGCGAGGGGAGUGAAAAAGAACCUGAAACCGUGUACGUACAAGCAGUGGGAGCACCUUCGGGUGUGACUGCGUACCUUUUGUAUAAUGGGUCAGCGACUUAUAUUCUGUAGCAAGGUUAACCGUAUAGGGGAGCCGCAGGGAAACCGAGUCUUAACUGGGCGUUAAGUUGCAGGGUAUAGACCCGAAACCCGGUGAUCUAGCCAUGGGCAGGUUGAAGGUUGGGUAACACUAACUGGAGGACCGAACCGACUAAUGUUGAAAAAUUAGCGGAUGACUUGUGGCUGGGGGUGAAAGGCCAAUCAAACCGGGAGAUAGCUGGUUCUCCCCGAAAGCUAUUUAGGUAGCGCCUCGUGAACUCAUCUUCGGGGGUAGAGCACUGUUUCGGCUAGGGGGUCAUCCCGACUUACCAACCCGAUGCAAACUACGAAUACCGAAGAAUGUUAUCACGGGAGACACACGGCGGGUGCUAACGUCCGUCGUGAAGAGGGAAACAACCCAGACCGCCAGCUAAGGUCCCAAAGUCAUGGUUAAGUGGGAAACGAUGUGGGAAGGCACAGACAGCCAGGAUGUUGGCUUAGAAGCAGCCAUCAUUUAAAGAAAGCGUAAUAGCUCACUGGUCGAGUCGGCCUGCGCGGAAGAUGUAACGGGGCUAAACCAUGCACCGAAGCUGCGGCAGCGACACUAUGUGUUGUUGGGUAGGGGAGCGUUCUGUAAGCCUGCGAAGGUGGCCUGUGAGGGUUGCUGGAGGUAUCAGAAGUGCGAAUGCUGACAUAAGUAACGAUAAAGCGGGUGAAAAGCCCGCUCGCCGGAAGACCAAGGGUUCCUGUCCAACGUUAAUCGGGGCAGGGUGAGUCGACCCCUAAGGCGAGGCCGAAAGGCGUAGUCGAUGGGAAACAGGUUAAUAUUCCUGUACUUGGUGUUACUGCGAAGGGGGGACGGAGAAGGCUAUGUUAGCCGGGCGACGGUUGUCCCGGUUUAAGCAUGUAGGCGGAGGUUCCAGGUAAAUCCGGUACCUUUUAACGCUGAGGUGUGAUGACGAGGCACUACGGUGCUGAAGUAACAAAUGCCCUGCUUCCAGGAAAAGCCUCUAAGCAUCAGGUAACAUUAAAUCGUACCCCAAACCGACACAGGUGGUCAGGUAGAGAAUACCAAGGCGCUUGAGAGAACUCGGGUGAAGGAACUAGGCAAAAUGGUGCCGUAACUUCGGGAGAAGGCACGCUGGUGUGUAGGUGAAGUCCCUGCGGAUGGAGCUGAGACCAGUCGAAGAUACCAGCUGGCUGCAACUGUUUAUUAAAAACACAGCACUGUGCAAACACGAAAGUGGACGUAUACGGUGUGACGCCUGCCCGGUGCCGGAAGGUUAAUUGAUGGGGUUAUCCGUAAGGAGAAGCUCUUGAUCGAAGCCCCGGUAAACGGCGGCCGUAACUAUAACGGUCCUAAGGUAGCGAAAUUCCUUGUCGGGUAAGUUCCGACCUGCACGAAUGGCGUAAUGAUGGCCAGGCUGUCUCCACCCGAGACUCAGUGAAAUUGAACUCGCUGUGAAGAUGCAGUGUACCCGCGGCAAGACGGAAAGACCCCGUGAACCUUUACUAUAGCUUGACACUGAACAUUGAGCCUUGAUGUGUAGGAUAGGUGGGAGGCUUUGAAGCGUGGACGCCAGUCUGCGUGGAGCCAACCUUGAAAUACCACCCUUUAAUGUUUGAUGUUCUAACGUUGGCCCCUUAUCGGGGUUGCGGACAGUGUCUGGUGGGUAGUUUGACUGGGGCGGUCUCCUCCCAAAGAGUAACGGAGGAGCACGAAGGUUAGCUAAUCCUGGUCGGACAUCAGGAGGUUAGUGCAAUGGCAUAAGCUAGCUUGACUGCGAGCGUGACGGCGCGAGCAGGUGCGAAAGCAGGUCAUAGUGAUCCGGUGGUUCUGAAUGGAAGGGCCAUCGCUCAACGGAUAAAAGGUACUCCGGGGAUAACAGGCUGAUACCGCCCAAGAGUUCAUAUCGACGGCGGUGUUUGGCACCUCGAUGUCGGCUCAUCACAUCCUGGGGCUGAAGUAGGUCCCAAGGGUAUGGCUGUUCGCCAUUUAAAGUGGUACGCGAGCUGGGUUUAGAACGUCGUGAGACAGUUCGGUCCCUAUCUGCCGUGGGCGCUGGAGAAUUGAGGGGGGCUGCUCCUAGUACGAGAGGACCGGAGUGGACGCAUCACUGGUGUUCGGGUUGUCAUGCCAAUGGCACUGCCCGGUAGCUAAAUGCGGAAGAGAUAAGUGCUGAAAGCAUCUAAGCACGAAACUUGCCCCGAGAUGAGUUCUCCCUGAGACUUUAAGUCUCCUGAAGGAACGUUGAAGACGACGACGUUGAUAGGCCGGGUGUGUAAGCGCAGCGAUGCGUUGAGCUAACCGGUACUAAUGAACCGUGAGGCUUAACCUUACAACGCCGAAG
rnacentral:rRNA from 1 species